CUGUCAAAGUCCAAGAUCCAAGCUUUUAGCUCCCAGCGCAGACAUUACGAAAUUGCCAAACAAUGCCAACAUUCGAGUGCAGAGCGUUCUCCACUAAUUGUACGGAACAGCCACAAAGAGGCAGCCUUAACUACACACAAAGAACACGUCACCAGAAAUGCCUCAGACAAAAACGUGUCCACUUACGUGGACUUCAUUUUCGUGUUUCGUACGAAACUCGGCAUACCCCUCACCUUGCCGUGGAAGUUGCGCAGCAGCAAACUCGAAGAGUUACUCAACCCUUUCCCUUUGCUGUUUGGGUAACACUUUCCCAGCUCCAAUUGUACACCACCUGCGUAGCUGCGAUUGCCCGUCGAUCAGCUGCGUUAUUGUUUACAAUUGGAAGUGCACCUUCCAGCGCUUGCAUAAAUGCCACUUGAACUUUGGUCAAGGUGUCGUCGGCGCUUAUGGGAAAUAGCAACGGGAACUACCGACUGCCUUGACAUUGAAACGGGGCAGUGAAGUGAUCCUGACGGCGUUACGUGACUGUCUGCCGUACCGCCGACUGCUGCGUUCCCCCGAGCGGCGGUUCUCUGGCGAAUAAUGGGGUAACGAAAUCAUCGUAUGACUGUGUCAAAGUCCGAAAUAAAAAUACUUUUUGCAGUCGCAGUACACGAAUAAAAACGAGAAGAAUUGCUCAAACGAGAUUGAAAUAAAGAAAACAACAGUUGUACACAGA